GAUGAAUGAUGACAAAAUGUUUCGGUCCCAAAUGAUAACAUACUGAUUAUACCGUAACAUUUGUUUCUGACAUU
rnacentral:snoRNA from 1 species